rnacentral:rRNA from 1 species
ACGGUAACAGGAAGAAGCUUGCUUCUUUGCUGACGAGUGGCGGACGGGUGAGUAAUGUCUGGGAAACUGCCUGAUGGAGGGGGAUAACUACUGGAAACGGUAGCUAAUACCGCAUAACGUCGCAAGACCAAAGAGGGGGACCUUCGGGCCUCUUGCCAUCGGAUGUGCCCAGAUGGGAUUAGCUAGUAGGUGGGGUAACGGCUCACCUAGGCGACGAUCCCUAGCUGGUCUGAGAGGAUGACCAGCCACACUGGAACUGAGACACGGUCCAGACUCCUACGGGAGGCAGCAGUGGGGAAUAUUGCACAAUGGGCGCAAGCCUGAUGCAGCCAUGCCGCGUGUAUGAAGAAGGCCUUCGGGUUGUAAAGUACUUUCAGCGGGGAGGAAGGGAGUAAAGUUAAUACCUUUGCUCAUUGACGUUACCCGCAGAAGAAGCACCGGCUAACUCCGUGCCAGCAGCCGCGGUAAUACGGAGGGUGCAAGCGUUAAUCGGAAUUACUGGGCGUAAAGCGCACGCAGGCGGUUUGUUAAGUCAGAUGUGAAAUCCCCGGGCUCAACCUGGGAACUGCAUCUGAUACUGGCAAGCUUGAGUCUCGUAGAGGGGGGUAGAAUUCCAGGUGUAGCGGUGAAAUGCGUAGAGAUCUGGAGGAAUAC